AAAAGAAAAUAACAAAUUUUUCCCUAGUUACGGCGAGUGAAGAGGAAAAAGCUCAAAGUUGGAACCUAUUUGGCUUAGCUAAAUCGGAUUGUAAACUGUAGAAGUGUUUUCCUGACACGCCAGAUAAAUAAGUCCUUUGGAACAGGGCAUCAUAGAGGGUGAGAAUCCCGUCUUUGGUCUGAGCAGUUGUCUUUUGUGAUACAUUUUCAAAGAGUCAGGUUGUUUGGGAAUGCAGCCUAAAUUGGGUGGUAAAUCUCACCUAAAGCUAAAUAUUUGCGAGAGACCGAUAGCGAACAAGUACCGUGAGGGAAAGAUGAAAAGAACUUUGAAAAGAGAGUUAAACAGUAUGUGAAAUUGUUAAAAGGGAACCGUUUGGAGCCAGACUGGCUUGACUGUAAUCAAUCUAGAUCCUUCUGGAUGCACUUGCAGUUUAUGCCUGCCAAUGACAAUUUGUUUUGAGGGAAAAAACUGGGAAGAAUGUGGCCCCUUUUGGGGUGUUAUAGCUUCUUAGAAAAUACCUUGGAGCGGAUUGAGGAUCGCAGUGAAUGUCUUUUAGGCAAGAUUGCUGGGUGCUUUUGCUGAUAAAUGCUAGAAUUUCUGCUUUUAGGUGGUGCUAGUGUUUAAAGGCAAAACUCGCUUAGUAUAUUUUUUAUCGCUUAGGUUGUGGCUUAAUGACUCU
rnacentral:rRNA from 1 species